rnacentral:lncRNA from 10 species
GAGUACUCAAUGAUUCUAGUUGAAAGAAAGAAAAAAGGAAGGAAGAAAGGAGGAAGAGGCAGGCACAAGACAAAAUGAAUCUCUCCGCUGUGCACAUGGAGCCUUAGCUCUGAUUCCAGUUGAGCAAAAUUAUGAAGAAGAUGAUUCCCCAUAUGGAUGACAGAUAAACACCCUGUGGCGAGUCACUCACUCCCGAAAGGCCCUCUGAAGGAUCGCGCAUGUCCUGACUGCACAGCCUGCUCCUGACAAUGCUCUCAAAGCCACGGUUGUAAUAGAAAUUGGAAAAUCAAAGCAGAUCCAUGUGGCCUCAGCAUAACGAAAACAAGAUGGGAUUUCCCCUCCACAAGCACUCUCUUGCCUGCCGCCAUGUAAGGCAUUCCUUCGCUCCUGCUUUGCCUUCCGCCAUGAUUGGGAGGCCUCCCCAACCAUGUGGAACUGAAUAAAUGGAUGUUACUACUACUAGUACUGCUUCUGCUGCCAAGUUUUUGAGCACAUAACCAGGAUGACAACCACAGUUCCACAAAGCUCUGAUAAAACAUCAAAAAGAAACUCACCACCAAGGAAACCAGAGAAUCCUUUCUUGUCUUGAGUGAAUGGCAAUGAUCUUGGUGGCCAAGAUAAUAAAUACACGUUUAUUAUAUUGAAAAACUAUUCUAAAAUAUAUGUUCUCUAUAUAAAGUAAUCUCCACAUGAUUCUGAGAAAAAGUUUAAUCUAUCUUUCUACUACAAAGUUCUUAAUAAUGCUUUGACAAGGAGGUACCAUAUCCCAAGAUGUGAUACACUUUGCUCAGUUUUUAAAUUAAACAUUCUAGAGU